CUGAGUGGCUAUAUUCGUGUUCUCUUCGGAGAGGCGAAGCUACCCGACCUGAUGUCAUUCUAUCCGAGGGCGCGUCCGCUUGAGACAGCGGUUCGACACUGGAGUUACCCGGACGGGGCGCUUGUCUCGAAGGGGGAAGCUCCGGGUCGGGCCGUGGCGCGCCUCUCGGCACAACUUUCCGCGGAAGUGGUAGGCGUUGACCUGCCCGCCGCGGGCCGUAUUUUACAACUCUUGAAGAAAACCUGAAGUCUGAAUAUCAAAACAAAAUGAAAAGCA
rnacentral:misc_RNA from 1 species